rnacentral:rRNA from 1 species
CCAGACUCCUACGGGAGGCAGCAGUCGGGAAUAUUGCGCAAUGGAGGAAACUCUGACGCAGUGACGCCGCGUGCAGGAAGAAGGUUUUCGGAUUGUAAACUGCUUUAGACAGGGAAGAAAAAAGACAGUACCUGUAGAAUAAGCCCCGGCUAACUACGUGCCAGCAGCCGCGGUAAUACGUAGGGGGCAAGCGUUAUCCGGAUUUACUGGGUGUAAAGGGAGCGUAGGUGGCGUGCCAAGUCAGGAGUGAAAACCCAGGGCCCAACCCUGGGACUGCUCUUGAAACUGGCAGGCUUGAGUGCUGGAGAGGUAAGCGGAAUUCCUAGUGUAGCGGUGAAAUGCGUAGAUAUUAGGAGGAACACCAGUGGCGAAGGCGGCUUACUGGACAGUGACUGACACUGAGGCUCGAAGGCGUGGGGAGCAAACAGGAUUAGAUACCCCGGUA